rnacentral:rRNA from 1 species
AGAGUUUGAUCCUGGCUCAGAAUCAACGCUGGCGGCGUGCCUAACACAUGCAAGUCGAACGCGGUUAGUAGCAAUACUAACUGAGUGGCAAACGGGUGAGUAACACGUGGGUGACCUACCUUCGAGUGGGGGAUAACGUCCCGAAAGGGACGCUAAUACCGCAUAACAUCCUGUCCUUGAACGGAUGGAGAUCAAAGCCGGGGAUCGUAAGACCUGGCGCUUGAUGAGGGGCCCGCGUCUGAUUAGCUAGUUAGUGAGGUAACGGCCCACCAAGCCACUGACGGGUAGCUGGUCUGUGAGGACAGACAGCCAGACUGGGACUGAGACACGGCCCAGACUCCUACGGGAGGCAGCAGCAAGGAAUUUUCGGCAAUGGGGGCAACCCUGACCGAGCAACGCCGCGUGGAGGAUGACGGCCUUCGGGUUGUAAACUCCUUUUGCGGGGGAAGAGACUGACUGUACCCCGCGAAUCAGGCUCGGCUAACUCUGUGCCAGCCGCCGCGGUAAUAC